UGUUAUUUUUGAAAAAAAAUUAAUUACAGUUUUCACAGUCAAUUUUUUCACAACGUAAUCUCACAACAUUUGUAUUGCGAACAGUCUUU
ensembl:snoRNA T06E4.20 ncRNA